GGACACAUGGACUCUGAUAAGGCCUUGCAGGGAAAUGCAGGGAAGAUAGCCCAACCGGCAGCAGGGAGAACCUAGGAGGCAAGGGCAGUGACCCUCGGGCGUGACAACUAGAUCCAUGGCUUGCAUCCAGAAUGGAGAGGAGGAGAGCUGAGAAAGAUUUUGCAGCUGGCCCUGUGACUUGGGUUGAGAAAUCCCGUGUCUGCCUCUCAGUGGCUCCGUGUGUACAAUGGACUGGGCUGUUCGUGUUCAAGCCACCCUAGGUUCUGCAGAGGACACGCUGCAAAGGGUAUCUCUCUCCGCAGCCCCCCUUCAACAGUGACCUGCCCAGCUGUGUAUAGUACUGCGCUCUGAGCUGACUGGCCCAGGGAGCCAUGCCCAAGCCGAGAGGACCACGCUGAGGCCAGAAGCAAGGGAGGCCUCACCUGAGACAAGCUUGGCAUAGCACUCUAUCCAAUCAGGAUGUUCCAGCAGGAUCCUGACACAUCCAUCACAAGCAGAUCUUAGGAGGGAGGCCUUCUAAGGAGCACCGUGACAGUCAGGUCACAUCUCCCAGGCUCGGGCUUGCUGAGGCCUGAGAGGCCCUGCAGCCCAACAAACCCAUGGGCCCUGGUAAUAAACCCCUAUAACCAAA